GAUAAAUGAUGACAUGUUAUUUGCUACUCUUGACUGCUGAAUGACGACAGUAUACCACCAAGAUCGCUGAUUC